rnacentral:rRNA from 1 species
AUUGAACGCUGGCGGCGUGCCUAACACAUGCAAGUCGAGCGGUAACAGGUGUAGCAAUACAUGCUGACGAGCGGCGGACGGGUGAGUAACGCUUGGGAAUCUGCCUGUUAGUGGGGGACAACCCGGGGAAACUCGGGCUAAUACCGCAUACGCACUACGGUGGAAAGCCGGGGACCGCAAGGCCUGGCGCUAACAGAUGAGCCCAAGUCGGAUUAGCUAGUUGGUAGGGUAACGGCCACCAAGGCGACGAUCCGUAACUGGUCUGAGAGGACGACCAGUCACACCGGAACUGAGACACGGUCCGGACUCCUACGGGAGGCAGCAGUGGGGAAUAUUGGACAAUGGGCGAAAGCCUGAUCC